CUUUACUAUAACUUUGCAGUGGCAUUACGAUUGUCAUGUGUAGGAUAGGUGGGAGACUUUGAAGCGGGAGCGCUAGCUUUCGUGGAGUCAACCUUGAAAUACCACCCUUGACCUUCGUAAUGUCUAACCAUGAUCCAUAUAUCUGGAUCUGGGACCCUGCAUGGCGGGUAGUUUGACUGGGGCGGUCGCCUCCCAAAGAGUAACGGAGGCGCGCGAUGGUAAGCUCAGGACGGUCGGAAAUCGUCUUCGAGAGUGCAUUGGCAUAAGCUUGCCUGACUGCGAGACUGACAAGUCGAGCAGAGACGAAAGUCGGUCAAAGUGAUCCGGUGGUACCCUAUGGAAGGGCCAUCGCUCAACGGAUAAAAGGUA
rnacentral:rRNA from 1 species